UUUUUUGAACGUUAGAAAUACACUCAAAAAAUAUAAAGCACUUGUUACGUUGACAAAAUCAUACUAAUUCAAAAUGUAAGAACUCUGCUAAUUUAUAAAUCACCUUAGCUGCACCUUGGAGUAACCAAGUUUAUUAAUUCCCUACACUUAGGAAUAACUUAAAAAACUACACUUAGGAAUAACUUAAAAAACUACACUUAGGAAUAACUAAAACUGGUGUCAGUCUAAAAAUAGUUUUAAAAUUAUAAAAAAAAUAACAUGUCUUUAGAAAAUUUUCUGUACUUUACUAAUACUUUCUGAACUUUAAUGUAUAAUAUUAACCUAUUGAUAUAUAAAAAAAUCUAUUAUUUGAUUUUAUUCCAUUUUCUAAUUUUAUCAGGUCUUAUCUCUGUCUUCUGCUGGGGGUAAAGAUGUUAAAGAUGUUGUCAAGACCAUUAUGGAAAGAUUUGUAUUGUCUUACAACUUUUGAAUUUCUCGUGUUGUUUUUAGUCCUCAAUAGUCUUUAUAGUGAAAAUGUCGCUACGUACGAUGAAACACAUCGUUCAAUUUUCGAGGAACUAAUCGCCUCGAAAAUAAUAAAGAGUCAAGACCUAAGAAAGAAGCUUAUAAAUAUCUUAUUAUAUGCAAAGCUGUGUGCUGCGCAGUAAUGAAGGAUAAAAAAUUUAACAAAGAAGACGUAUUAAACUGCGUAAAAGAUAUUUUGCAAUACGCUCCAGAAAAGGCCACAGGCGGAAGACGGUCUUCAACAUAAUAUUUUUUUAAUUGUUAAAAUGUAAAAAGCAAAUGAGUGGUUAACUUGUAAAUCUUGUUUUAUAUUUCAAUACCAUAGUUAUAUAUUUA